GAUGAAGAACGCAGCGAAAUGCGAUAAGUAAUGUGAAUUGCAGAAUUCAGUGAAUCAUCGAAUCUUUGAACGCACAUUGCGCCCGCCAGUAUUCUGGCGGGCAUGCCUGUUCGAGCGUCAUUACAACCCUCAGGCCCCCGGGCCUGGCGUUGGGGAUCGGCGGAAGCCCCCUGCGGGCACAACGCCGUCCCCCAAAUACAGUGGCGGUCCCGCCGCAGCUUCCAUUGCGUGGUAGCUAACACCUCGCAACUGGAGAGCGGCGCGGCCACGCCGUAAAACACCCAACUUCUGAAUGUUGACCUCGAAUCAGGUAGGAAUACCCGCUGAACUUAAGCAUAUCAAUAAGCGGAGGA
rnacentral:misc_RNA from 1 species